rnacentral:misc_RNA from 1 species
AACGCACCUUGCGCUCCUUGGCAUUCCAUGGAGCACGCCUGUUUGAGUGUCACGUGAAUACAUCACCUCCCCUCGGGGAAGAGUGGACUUGGGCGCCUGCCGACGUCUCCGACGCCGGCUCGCCUGAAAUGCAUUAGCCUGCGGAGCGUCCCCUGGCCUUUGGCGUGAUAGUAACAUUUCGCCGCUGUGCCGAGGACGUUGAGCUCCGGGCUCACAAUGUGCGUGCCCCUUGUGGCCGCGACCCCCUUUUACGCUUUGGCCUCAAAUCAGGCGGGACUACCCGCUGAACUUAA